UUUAAGAUUUUAAAUUAAAAAAAAAAAAAAUGGAAUGUAAUUUUGAAAAUGACUUCUUUUUUUUUAAAGACAUGUGAUGAGGGAGAAGACAAUAUCCGCUCAAAGAAUCUGAGGCUGCUGUCCGAGUCAAUCGACAUCGUCAGAUCCUGGAUCAGUACGACCUUCAAAGACAAGUUGCGCGAAACCUCAGAGAUCAAGAUGUGGAAUAGCAUCAUCUCUCUCAGUUUUGUCAAUGUGGAUUUCACCAAGAAAUGGAGGCAAACCUUCUGUACGGAUUUAGAGGGCAAACUUAAACAGGUGUGGAACUGCUACAAAGAGCAUUGAUUUUAACUCUUAUUAUUAUUAUUAUUUGUGUCCAGUGGAGAUGUUUUGAUUUGUUAAAAUCACAUUUUCAGAUCUCCUCUCUGGAUCAAAUAGAGAUAUACUGCUCAAAGAUGGAGGAGCUGGAUAACUGUCAUCCUAACAUGACUUGUAGUAUUGAGAAAUGUGCUCUUGAAGCUGUCCCCUCAUUGUGCCAGGUAUGAGUACUCCUCAGGUAGUCCACAUGGAAACACAUGGAAACCUUUAAAUACUCAUAUUUCCGCCCCA
rnacentral:lncRNA from 1 species